CCUACGGGAGGCAGCAGUGAGGAAUAUUGGUCAAUGGCCGGAAGGCUGAACCAGCCAUGCCGCGUGAAGGUCAGUGCCCUACGGGCGUUAAACUUCUUUUAUAAAGGAAUAAAAUGAGGCACGUGUGCCUUGUUGCAUGUACUUUAUGAAUAAGGAUCGGCUAACUCCGUGGCAGCAGCCGCGGUAAAACGGAGGAUCCGGGCGUUAUCCGGAUUGAUUGGGGGUAAAGGGAGCGUAGAUGGGUUGUUAAGUCAGUUGUGAAAGUUUGCGGCUCAACCGGAAAAUUGCAAUUGAUACUGGCAGUCUUGAGUACAGUUGAGGUAGGCGGAAUUCGUGGUGUAGCGGUGAAAUGCGUAGAUAUCACGAAGAACCCCGAUUGCGAAGGCAGCUUACUAAACUGUGACUGACAUUGAUGCUCGAAAGUGUGGGUAUCAAACAGGAUUAGAUACCCUUGUAGUC
rnacentral:rRNA from 1 species